CCUACGGGUGGCAGCAGUGAGGAAUAUUGGUCAAUGGGCGAGAGCCUGAACCAGCCAAGUCGCGUGAAGGAUGACUGACCUAUGGUUUGUAAACUUCUUUUAUAUGGGAAUAAAGUGAGGAACGUGUUCCUUUUUGUAUGUACUUUAUGAAUAAGCAUCGGCUAACUCCGUGCCAGCAGCCGCGGUAAUACGGAGGAUGCGAGCGUUAUCCGGAUUUAGUGGGUUUAAAGGGUGCGUAGGUGGUUUAUUAAGUCAGCGGUGAAAGUUUGUGGCUCAACCAUAAAAUUGCAAGUGAAACUGGCUGACUUGAGUACAGUUGAGGUAGGCGGAAUUCGUGGUGUAGCGGUGAAAUGCAUAGAUAUCACGAAGAACUCCGAUUGCGAAGGCAGCCUACUAAACUACAACUGACACUGAAGCACGAAAGUGUGGGUAUCAAACAGGAUUAGAUACCCUUGUAGUC
rnacentral:rRNA from 1 species